GACAGAGGGUGCGAACGUUGCUCGGAAUUACUGGGCGUAAAGCGCGUGUAGGCGGGUGAUCAAGUCAGGUGUGAAAUCCCCAGGCUCAACCUGGGAACUGCACUUGAAACUGGUCGCCUUGAGUGUUGGAGAGGGAAGCGGAAUUCCUGGUGUAGAGGUGAAAUUCGUAGAUAUCGGGAGGAACACCAGUAGCGAAGGCGGCACUCUGGGCCGGUACUGACGCUGAGGAGCGAAAGCGUGGGGAGCAAACAGG
rnacentral:rRNA from 1 species